AUAUGUACACACAAAAAAACAAACACAAAAAAUAGUGUGCUGCCAUUUGACGACACAAACUCCCCCUGCUUAGCGCCUGUUCACCAAGGUGUGGAAAGUGAUGCAACUUCUGCUAAAGAGCAUCGUUCCAUUGCAAUCUCCAGGUUGUAUCAGCAGCAACACCCUGUGUAUCCAUCCACUUAAAAUCAUGAAUGAAUCCACUUCCUGCAGCGUUUUGGAGAGAAUAUUCUGGAUCCAGUAUUGUCAGUAUUGAUUCUGUGACCUCUGUGAUAGGUCAUCUCUUUUACCUUCUCUGUUCCGAGAGGACUCCUAACUUUUCCAAAUUACUCUUUACUGUAAUUCUAGACACUCUCUAAAUCAAUUCUUAGGCUUGAAGUCUGAAGAAGGGUCCCGACCCGAAACGUCACCCAUCCUUUUUCAGACAGAAAUGCUGCCUGACCCGCUGAGUUACUCCAGAACUUUGUGUCUAUCUUAGGCUUUUGACAUCCUUCCUUUAGUUUAGAGAUACAGCGUGGAAACAGGCCCUUCGGCCCACUGAGUCGGCGAUCCCCACACACUAACAGUUGAGCCGUGGGCCGAUCAGUUGCAUGGUGCUUUUGUGAACAGCAGCACAAACAUUGGGCUACGUGACCCUUUGAACAUUGUAAACCUUGAGAGAGAAGUUUGCUUUGUUGACAUCUUGCUCUUCUUUCCCACCCCCCAGGUUUGGCGUACUCUGAAUUGUUCUCUCCCCUUGCCAAGCUGUGGGGCUGGAUCUCGCUGCUGUCUCCAGAAAAAGCUCUGCCCCUGGUGUACUGGUGGUUGGGCACAGCCUGGUACCAGUUAACAACGGCCAUCUCCUUGAUCGAUGUCUUUACUCUGUCCAGGUGUGUCCCUCACGUGAAGAAGUGGAUGCUGCUGGUGUUGCUGGCAUUACUGGGUAAGGACCUGCUCCAUUUCACAUCUCACUUCAUCGAUCAUUGAUGUCUGCAGGAUAAUAUGAAGAGAAAAUCUUCACUGAGGGUUCGAGCAGUUGAGGCAAAACAUGAGGAGAAACAGUCAAGUUGAGAGUAAAGGAUUAAAGGUGGAGGGAAGGAUUGGGGGUGGGCCCUGGGCUGUAUUUAGCCGUCUGUUUGACAGAACAACACUGGUGAAUUUAUAGUGUCAACUGAGUAUCCCGAGUCCAAGGUUCUUGUUGCAAAUAGUAGGUAUGUUACAAAACCUACCUGAAUCGUGGCUGAGCAUAUGCCCCCAGGCCGUGUGCACGAUUUUGGCGCUGUUUAGAGGGGGCGGGUUUAAAACGCGAUUUUUACUAGGCUGUUGCAAUCGAAAAUGUUCAGCCUAGUAAAUCAUUAACGGAAAAUCGCUGAAAGACCCCGUCGCAAAAGGUAUUAUUAGUUUUUAUGGCCUUGUAUAAUAGUUAUAGUAGUUUAACAACCACUCUCUCAACCCGCGACCUCUCGCAGCCCCAGGGUUUUAUAAAGCAAACAAUUAAAGGUAUGUACCUUAUUUUUACAUUAAAAGGGGCUUCUUAAGAACCCUGUAUAUAAAGUUUUCUAUAGCGAAUAGCUCAUUUUGGGCUCUUUAUAUCACGCAGUAUUUUUCUGGGCAUUUGAGGGCACAAAUCCAGCGCAAUGUGAACGUUCUAAACCAGCGCGUUCACAGGAACACACUAGAAAGCCGAUUUAAAUUGACUUUAAUUUACAGCAAUUGAACACUAAAUUCUUUCCAUUUGGCCUAGAAAUUGAUGUAAA